AUUGAACGCUGGCGGCAGGCUUAACACAUGCAAGUCGAGCGGGGUGAUGGUGCUUGCACUAUCACUUAGCGGCGGACGGGUGAGUAAUGCUUAGGAAUCUGCCUAUUAGUGGGGGACAACAUCUCGAAAGGGAUGCUAAUACCGCAUACGUCCUACGGGAGAAAGCAGGGGAUCACUUGUGACCUUGCGCUAAUAGAUGAGCCUAAGUCGGAUUAGCUAGUUGGUGGGGUAAAGGCCUACCAAGGCGACGAUCUGUAGCGGGUCUGAGAGGAUGAUCCGCCACACUGGGGCUGAGACACGGCCCAGACUCCUACGGGAGGCAGCAGUGGGGAAGAUUGGACAAUGGGGGGAACCCUGAUCUAGCCAUGCCGCGUGUGUGAAGAAGGCCUUAUGGUUGUAAAGCACUUUAAGCGAGGAGGAGGCUCUUUUGGUUAAUACCCAAGAUGAGUGGACGUUACUCGCAGAAUAAGCACCGGCUAACUCUGUGCCAGCAGCCGCAGUAACAC
rnacentral:rRNA from 1 species